CUCCCCAGCUCCACUGAAAACAAAACCAAAAACAAAACAAAUCAAAGCCUUAAGGAUUUAUCAACCUGGAGAGAGUGCAGCCCUUCUAGACUGAGCUGCAAAGAUGGCCCUGCCUCCAUGCCUUGUUGAACAUGAUGAUGCCCCUGGGAAUGGGAGGUGAUGGUUUUUUACUUCGGCCCUAGUACAGAGUAUGCUCUUGAAGCUGGAUUCCAUCAGCAGGAAUCACUAGGUACUUCUAAAUCACUGGAGAGUCAAUCUGAAGUCAGAUGCAUACUCCCUGAAUAUUAGUCUUUCAGCUCUCAAAUCUCCAGGCAGCCUCUAUUGAUUGAUCUGAGUUGGCAGAUGAGUUGGCAGGCCUCAAAUUCCUGUUCCCAGUGAUAUGAGUACCCACAGAUAAUUCACUGGUAAGAUCACCGAGUGACCCAGGAAUGAAACCUACCAUUGAAGAUGUUUAUUUAGAGCUGUAUCCACUGUCCACAGCCAAGGGAAAUAGCCUUUUCUAGACUGGAUAUAUUUGACCAGUAGAUGGAGUAAGUGGAUCCCAGAACCACCAACUAACCACCCAGAACCUGCUGAUCAAUGCUGUUGUCUUUCAAUAUUCUAUCAAAAAGGGACAAUGCCAUCACCAGCAACUAAAUCUUGAGCUUAAGGUGCAUCUUCGGCAGGUUUUGGAAAUCACUAGUGGGUAAAAAAGACCAAUUUGCAACUAGGCUCUCAUGCUCUGUUGAAAACUAUGUCACAAUAUCACAAUACUAGAUGCUGGGCUCAAGACAGCAAACAGAAAGCAGCAAGGGCAGUGACUGGAAGCUGGGAGAGAGGGUCAACAGCUGAAUCUCAGCCUGAUGGAGGCCAC
ensembl:lncRNA SLC8A1-AS1 SLC8A1 antisense RNA 1